UCCCUGAUAGCUCAGUUGGUAAAGAAUCUGCUUGCAAUGCAGGAGACCCCGGUUUGAGUCUGGGUUGGGAAG
rnacentral:tRNA from 1 species